GACGAACGCUGGCGGCGUGCCUAAUACAUGCAAGUUGAGCGCUGAAGGUUGGUACUUGUACCAACUGGAUGAGCAGCGAACGGGUGAGUAACGCGUGGGGAAUCUGCCUUUGAGCGGGGGACAACAUUUGGAAACGAAUGCUAAUACCGCAUAAAAACUUUAAACACAAGUUUUAAGUUUGAAAGAUGCAAUUGCAUCACUCAAAGAUGAUCCCGCGUUGUAUUAGCUAGUUGGUGAGGUAAAGGCUCACCAAGGCGAUGAUACAUAGCCGACCUGAGAGGGUGAUCGGCAACAUUGGGACUGAGAAACGGCCCAAACUCCUACGGGAGGCAGCAGUAGGGAAUCUUCGGCAAUGGACGAAAGUCUGACCGAGCAACGCCGCGUGAGUGAAGAAGGUUUUCGGAUCGUAAAACUCUGUUGGUAGAGAAGAACGUUGGUGAGAGUGGAAAGCUCAUCAAGUGACGGUAACUACCCAGAAAGGGACGGCUAACUACGUG
rnacentral:rRNA from 1 species